rnacentral:tRNA from 1 species
GUGGCCGUGGCUCAAUUGGUACAGCAGCGGAUUGUGGCUCCGCCAUUUUGCGGGUUCAACUCCCGUCGGUCACC